rnacentral:lncRNA from 1 species
AGUUGGACUUCUUUAUGAUGGUUGUAACAUGAUGUAGGAUAGCUUUAUAUUUUUAAUGGCGUUUAAUAUGGUUGGUGUUGGACCUUCACUUGCUAAUGCCUUCCGUAGAAUUCUUAUAGCUUAGGUAAGCCUUUUUCUGUUAUUUUUUUUGUAUAUACUGGAUUUAGUUGGUAUAUGUAAAGGUCAUUUUACCAUGCUGAUUAGUUAGGUUUUAGUGUUAUUUCAUUGUUUCUAUGUGCAGCUUUCUAUAUGUGGACAUUUUUAUUUCUUAUAUGUUGAUGCAUCUUGAUACCUUGAUAACUUAUAGGAGUGCUAAGCAUGUGUGGACAUUAUUUUCAUAUAAUAUACCAUAUAUGUUCUUCAUAAUUUUUUUAAAAUUAUUUUGACUUGCACACUGAUUGUAGGAGUUCCCGAAUCGAAUCUGUGCUUUAAGUAUAUCUCUUGCAAAUUUUGAUGUUGGUGUUAUAGGUCAUUAGCUGGGGAAAAUUUAUUGUCACAAGCCACGUCCAGGUACUUUAAUUGCUUUGUCAAAAUUGGAUAUUGUGGGUGAAUUAAUAGCUGGAGGUUCGGUAUAUUUCUUUUAAAAUAAUAUAUUUGUAUUUUAUCAAAUUUAUUUAUUAUUUAUAUUUUAUUAUAUAAUUAUUUAUUUGUUUUAAUUAAAAAUAAAUAAUAAAUAAACUUGAUAAUUAACCCAUCUAUCUAUAUAAUAGUGUCUGUUGCGUGAUUUGUACAGUAAAACCUGCAUAGACUUUCACCCUUAGAGUUCUUACUAAUUGCAAAAAUGCCACCGCUUACAUUACAACCAUAUAUGCGCAAAAGGCCACGUCUCUGUGCUCCACGCUACUGCAUUUGUACUCUGAAGUGAAGCUUCUCUCCAAAGCUGGGAUUUAAAAUUCAAAAUCUGAACUUUUGACCUAAUUUUCAUCAUUGAUGGCACUCAGAAGCUACAUCGGCUUUCCUUCUUAUUUCCUCCAUGGCAAAGGUGUGAUCCCUGCUUUAUUUUCUACGUAUUUUUUGUUUAUUUCAUAUUAUUUGUUAACUGAUGGUGCUAAUUGUAAUCUCCUCCGGAAUUCACGAGAAACUGAUGGUGCUAAUUGUAAUAUCCAUUUAAAACUUUUAUUGUUUUAUGAUUCAACUUUUAUCUAUUUAUUACAGUUGAAUUUUGUCGGGAAACUGUUCGAUGAUUUGUCCAAAAGAACAAGUUCGAUGAAUAUAUCAAUAUUCAGGUAACUUUUGUAUAUGACUAUGUGGGUUUUGUAUAUGUCGGGUAUCUUAUUUUUAACUAUUGAUUCAUGGAGUUGGACUUCUUUAUGAUGGUUGUAACAUGAUGUAGGAUAGCUUUAUAUUUUUAAUGGCGUUUAAUAUGGUUGGUGUUGGACCUUCACUUGCUAAUGCCUUCCGUAGAAUUCUUAUAGCUUAGGUAAGCCUUUUUCUGUUAUUUUUUUUGUAUAUACUGGAUUUAGUUGGUAUAUGUAAAGGUCAUUUUACCAUGCUGAUUA